UUCCUACGGGACGCAGCAGUGGGGGAUAUUGCACAAUGGAGGAAACUCUGAUGCAGCGACGCCGCGUGAGGGAAGACGGUCUUCGGAUUGUAAACCUCUGUCUUUGGGGAAGAAAAUGACGGUACCCAAAGAGGAAGCUCCGGCUAACUACGUGCCAGCAGCCGCGGUAAUACGUAGGGAGCGAGCGUUGUCCGGAAUUACUGGGUGUAAAGGGAGCGUAGGCGGGAUAGUAAGUUGAUUGUUAAAACUAUCGGCUCAACUGGUAGAUGCGAUCAAAACUGCAAUUCUUGAGUGAAGUAGAGGCA
rnacentral:rRNA from 1 species